AACGAACGCUGGCGGCGUGGAUAAGACAUGCAAGUCGAACGCUUGCUUUUGGGUAGCAAUAUUCAGGAGCAGGAGUGGCGGAAGGGUGCGUAACAUGUGGGUAAUCUGCCGUGAAGACUGGGAUAACUUGCUGAAAGGCGAGCUAAUACCGGAUGAGAUAACCAGGAGGCAGCCUUUGGUUAUGAAAGUUGGGGACUGUAAAAGGCCUAACGCUUCAUGAUGAGCCCGCAACCUAUCAGCUAGUUGGUGAGGUAAAGGCUCACCAAGGCUAAGACGGGUAGCUGGUCUGAGAGGACGACCAGCCACACUGGAACUGAGAGACGGUCCAGACACCUACGGGUGGCAGCAGUCGAGAAUUUUUCACAAUGGGCGCAAGCCUGAUGGAGCGACGCCGC
rnacentral:rRNA from 1 species